rnacentral:lncRNA from 1 species
GCCGCGGCGGCGGGGGGACAUAAAGCCGCGGUGGCGAGGGGGGUCACAACAAAGCCGCGGCGGGCAAAAAGCCGAGGCGGGGUGGGGGGCAAAAAGCCGCGGCGGCAGUGGGGCAAAAAGCCACGGCGGCGGGGGGUAAAAAGCCGCGGCGGGCAAAAAGUCGCGGCGGCGGGGGACAGAAAGCCGUGGCGGGCAAAAAGCCGAGGCGGGGUGGGGGGGAAAAAGCCGCGGCGGCGGGGGGCGAAAAGCCACGGCGGUGGGGGGCAAAAUAGUGGAGAUGGGGUAGAAGGACGGCACAGCUUGGUAUUGCUGGAGUGUGAUGUGAUAGGAAAUGUGCAGCCAAAGACAAAAAAAGAUGUGCUGUCAUCUAUAUGAUCUCAGUAUUUUAAAAAUCAGCUUCCAGCCCAUGUGGUGGUUCAUGCUUGUAAUACCAGCAGUUGAAGAGGCUUAAAUGAGAGGAUUCCUGGAGCCCAGGAGUUCAAAAGCAACCUGGGCAACCUAGCAAGACCCAGUCUCUAUCAAAAGUUAAAAAAAAAAAGUGGGCAUGGUGAUGUGCACCUGUUGUCCUAGCUAUUUUGGAGGCCAAGGUGGAAGGAUCGCUUGAGCUUGGGAGGCUGAGGCUGCAGUGAGCAGUGAUUGCACCACUGCAUUCCAGCCUGGGCAACAAAGCAAGACCCUAUCUCAAAAAAUAUAUAAUAAAAAUGAAAAUCAGUUCUCAUUGAUUUCUAUGUAAAUAUGCACAGAUGAUGUCCAUAUAGACAUAAAUAAUAAUAUAUCUGAC